rnacentral:rRNA from 1 species
AGGGAAUCUUCGGCAAUGGGGGCAACCCUGACCGAGCAACGCCGCGUGAGUGAAGAAGGUUUUCGGAUCGUAAAGCUCUGUUGUAAGUCAAGAACGAGUAUGAGAGUGGAAAGUUCACACUGUGACGGUAGCUUACCAGAAAGGGACGGCUAACUACGUGCCAGCAGCCGCGGUAAUACGUAGGUCCCGAGCGUUGUCCGGAUUUAUUGGGCGUAAAGCGAGCGCAGGCGGUUUGAUAAGUCUGAAGUUAAAGGCUGUGGCUCAACCAUAGUUCGCUUUGGAAACUGUCAAACUUGAGUGCAGAAGGGGAGAGUGGAAUUCCAUGUGUAGCGGUGAAAUGCGUAGAUAUAUGGAGGAACACCGGUGGCGAAAGUGGCUCUCUGGUCUGUAACUGACGCUGAGGCUCGAAAGCGUGGGGAGCGAACAGGAUUAGAUACCCUGGUAGUCCACGCCGUAAACGAUGAGUGCUAGGUGUUGGAUCCUUUCCGGGAUUCAGUGCCGCAGCUAACGCAUUAAGCACUCCGCCUGGGGAGUACGACCGCAAGGUUGAAACUCAAAGGAAUUGACGGGGGCCCGCA